rnacentral:rRNA from 1 species
GACAGAGGCCCCGAGCGUUAGGCGGAAUCACUGGGCUUAAAGCGUGUGUAGGCGGGCCCGUAAGUGUCUUGUGAAAUCCCACGGCUCAACCGUGGAACUGCUGGGCAUACUGCGGGUCUUGGGCCAACUAGGGGCAGCCGGAACAAGCGGUGGAGCGGUGAAAUGCGUAGAUAUCGCUUGGAACGCCGAAGGUGAAAACAGGCUGCUGGGGUUGCGCCGACGCUGAGGCGCGAAAGCCAGGGGAGCGAACGGG